rnacentral:rRNA from 1 species
CUUUCUUUUGCUGGCGACCGGCGCACGGGUGAGUAGCACGUAUCCAACCUGCCCUUUACUCGGGGAUAGCCUUUCGAAAGAAAGAUUAAUACCCGAUAGUAUAAUGAUUCCGCAUGGUUUCAUUAUUAAAGGAUUCCGGUAAAGGAUGGGGAUGCGUUCCAUUAGGUUGUUGGUGAGGUAACGGCUCACCAAGCCUUCGAUGGAUAGGGGUUCUGAGAGGAAGGUCCCCCACAUUGGAACUGAGACACGGUCCAA